GACGAACGCUGGCGGCGUGCCUAAUACAUGCAAGUUGAGCGCUGAAGGUUGGUACUUGUACCAACUGGAUGAGCAGCGAACGGGUGAGUAACGCAUGGGGAAUCUGCCUUUGAGCGGGGGACAACAUUUGGAAACGAAUGCUAAUACCGCAUAAAAACUUUAAACACAAGUUUUAAGUUUGAAAGAUGCAAUUGCAUCACUCAAAGAUGAUCCCGCGUUGUAUUAGCUAGUUGGUGAGGUAAAGGCUCACCAAGGCGAUGAUACAUAGCCGACCUGAGAGGGUGAUAGGCCACAUUGGGACUGAGACACGGCCCAAACUCCUACGGGAGGCAGCAGUAGGGAAUCUUCGGCAAUGGACGAAAGUCUGACCGAGCAACGCCGCGUGAGUGAAGAAGGUUUUCGGAUCGUAAAACUCUGUUGGUAGAGAAGAACGUUGGUGAGAGUGGAAAGCUCAUCAAGUGACGGUAACUACCCAGAAAGGGACGGCUAACUACGUG
rnacentral:rRNA from 1 species